UGAUUUACGAGCCUCACAGACUGUGCCAAGUUCCCUCAUAGUAAACACUGAACAAAUAGGAGGACGUACUUGAAACUGAGAUGUGCACCUCAAUGUAUCAUUAUCAUUAUAUAAAUAUAUAUACACAAUAAAUAAAUUGCUAAGAGACUACAGAACAACCAAGCAAAAUGAUAACCGUGCUAGACAAAUAUUUUCUAGUUAAAACAUAUUAGGGAUAUUUGGUUUUAGUUUUAUCUAAUAGCUGUGUUUAUAGCUUUUCACGUUAUCAAGUUAAAACAAUCUUAAUUUUCCAGUUUCAAUUAAAACUACGUAGUCAGUGUCAAAUGUUUCAUUUUGGGAGAAUAAGAUUCAGAAACGAAAUUUUAAAUCUCUAAUCCUGAGUUUUAGGCUAACAGCGGCGCAGAGUUUGUGAUUAGGUCCAGGACUCAUUCAUGUUUUUUGUCCCCACUCGAUAAAUAAGGAGGUAAACGUAUGUCACCUUGUGCCCAGCUACAACACAAGCAUCGCAGACAUGAGAAGUACCAGCGGGGGCUGUUUUGGGGUUUGCUACUUCCCCCUUUUACCGAACCAACAUCUGGAUACUACAUUCUGCAACUUCAUGACAGGGCUUGGAUAUGAGCUUCAAUUUGAUUUUGCUUUCGUUCUUCAGCUAAAUGAAUUUUUUUUUCAUUCAAUAAUUUUUUUUUUCACAUGUAUUUUUUUUUAUGUACCAGCUGUUCACCCCCAAAAAUGGCGACACUCUGCAAUGAAUUUGGACAUAGUUUUUUUUCCCACAAGGACUGUAAGUGGUAUGGUCUUUCACUGGAUGUUGUAUUUAGUUAUAGACCAAAUAAACGUCUCUCUGUGUUAUGGUGGUACUUCUAGUAUGUCAUGCAGUAUUUCUAGGGUGCACUCUUGUCUAUUUGCCUGCUGUAUCUGUUUAUAUUAUUGAUGCUAAUACCUUGGCUGUCAGAGAGAAAUACAAUGGAUUACUAUGUAUUUAUGAAAGUCUGUUGCAAUUAUUUUUUUUCUGAUGCUUUAUGCAUGACAUACAACUAAUAAUCAUAUGGAUUGUGCAAUUUGAACAGACAGUGAAUGAAUGAUGUAGGUGGAAGUUGGUCAGGGUGGGUAAGUUUACAUAGAAACUAAACUAUAACAAAUAAUUUGUGCUGUAAUUCGCCUGUUUGGGUUAAUGGGUGGGGCUUUAGUGCCUGCAGGAAAUAAAAAAAAAACUUGGGUUUAAAUAAAAGCUUCGUGGUUGAUUCUACCUGAAAUGUAACUCUUUUUUUAUUGCUUGAAGAGGCGACUGUUUGUUUCAUAGUAGCCUCUCAAAAUGGAAGUAGUUAACACAGAGAGAGAGAGUUAAGUAGUGGACUGAAAAGUCAAAAUAAGCAGUAUAACUAUUACAUCAGUAGCCGGAAAUAGGAUUAUAGCCUAGCUAAUCAGCCUGUCCAUGGUUUUAUGUUGCAGACUGUCUAUAACACGACAGCUUUAAACAAUGACACAGUGAGUUUAACACAUACAGUAUCUAUCAAUUUAACAUUAUUGUCACAGGGAUUACACCAUUUGUAAACAUUCAGAGUUUUAAAAAGACAUAUAUCUGGUAAAGCCAAGCAGUAUCUGAAAGUCCUCUAACACAUAGGGAAAUCAUUUUGGAUCUGAAAGUGUGCUAUUUUAUCAGCAUGACAUCAGCUGUGUGUACGUCAUUAAUAAGGUGAAAGUCUGUUUACAUUUUGGGGAUGUAAUGAAGGAACAUAACACAAUUACCAGUUCCUCCAAUUAAAAGAGAUGAAUCUAUAUGCAUUUAAUUAAACAGAAAUUUGGAUAAUUUGGAAUUUUACAGUCUGCUAUUAUGUUAAAGAGCUACAAGCUAUGGUAGAUAUGUUGCAAUCAUAGACACACAAUACUGCCACAUCAUUUUUGCAUUCAUUUUGUUAGAUUGAUGGCUCCUAAAAUAACUGGAAUAGAUGUUUAUUAAACAACCUUGCACUGAGUCUGAUUUCCUGUGCUGUUUAAGUGAUUUGCUACUAGUUGGCCUCUGUUUACUGAAUCCUUUAUAGAUGUAACCUAUCAUUUAUAAUACAGUGUUAUUUAUUGAUGUUAUCUUAUGUGUUUUUGGUAUCCUAGUUUACUAACUGCAUCCCAGUGAAGUUACUUAAGUUACAGUAAAAUAUGUGUUUAUAAUGAUAUUCAGUUUAUUGAGAUGCUUAAUGAUUUUAUAAAGCAGAUUUGCUGCUAAAAUGCACAUUAAAGUUAUCAGUUUAAAAAAAAAAAAAAAAAAAAAGAUUGCAUCUGUCUAUAUUACAUUUAGAGCUUAGUUGAAAAUGUGAUUCAGAUUCCAGUCUAUAUCCUGUAUACUAUAUGCACCUACUGAUGGCUCUACUUAAAACACAUGCAAGUUUCCAUCCAAUAGCUGUCCUAUAGUCAGGCUUUUUAAAUGUCCUUUAUACACUUGAUCCUAUUGAAGCAAAUAUAAGCUCUUUCUGAUCCGUCUAAGCAGUAGAAUGCAGUAAGGAAACACUGGUACUUUUCCAUUGAGAUCAACUGUUGCUCAGCGUGUUUAUGCCUUGCUUUCAAAAGUCUUUUUGAUUUGAUUCCUGCCAUGAAAUCAGUCUCCUGAGUUAUACAUAAGAAUGCUAGAUUUACCAAGAGAUGUAGCUCUGGAUCCAGAAGUACUUUAUUCUGAUUAUAAUUGAGGAAUUGUGUAUUUGGCCCAAGUUAAUCAAUAACAGCAACUUCUAAAACACAGAAUCAGUAAAAUUUUAACUGAUCAUACUCAGUGCAAAGUCUGCAAAUUUGUCACUAUGAAAAAAGUCACUAAUUACUAAUCUCAAUAAGCAUGGGGCAUAUGCACUUAAUAAUAAAGGACCUGGUUAGUAUCAUUUACAGGGCAAAUCAAUUUCUCACGUAUGUCUUAAAACCAAACAACAAAACAAAAAACUGUCACCAAAUUGCUUAUGUAACCUGUAUAGAACAAUUGUCUUCCAUAAGCUAAGCAAAAACAUUUUCAGUUUUAUCCCAGAUAAAACACAGUAAAGAACACAGUGAAAACCACAGAGAAAUCUGCCCAAAAUCUUUCAGUAGAACUUUUUUUGUUGCACCAUGGUUUAAUGGUUAGAAAGUUUUGUUUUUUCUUGCUAAAGAGAAGGCCUCUUUAAUGACACACAGACAUUAGCUUAUGUAACAAUUUUAUGUUUUCUCAGUGUUUGCAAUUAUUAAUAUCAUUGUAUUCAUUUUUUUAGGAUCACUGUUUCUCUUUAUUUAAAUGUAUAUGUAAGAAUAAAUAUAUCUAAAUAAACAAAAUAUAGCCAA